rnacentral:rRNA from 1 species
AUUGAACGCUUGCGGCAUGCUUUACACAUGCAAGUCGAACGGCAGCGCGGGCUUCGGCCUGGCGGCGAGUGGCGAACGGGUGAGUAAUGCAUCGGAACGUGCCCAGUAGUGGGGGAUAGCCCGGCGAAAGCCGGAUUAAUACCGCAUACGACCUGAGGUUGAAAGCGGGGGACCGAAAGGCCUCGCGCUAUUGGAUCGGCCGAUGUCGGAUUAGCUAGGUGGUGGGGUAAAGGCUUACCAAGGCGACGAUCCGUAGCUGGUCUGAGAGGACGACCAGCCACACUGGGACUGAGACACGGCCCAGACUCCUACGGGAGGCAGCAGUGGGGAAUUUUGGACAAUGGGGGCAACCCUGAGCCAGCCAUGCCGCGUGCGGGAAGAAGGCCUUCGUGUUGUAAACCGCUUUUGUUCGGGAAGAAAUCCUCUGGGCUAAUACCCCGGGGGGAUGACGGUACCGGAAGAAUAAGCACCGGCUAACUACGU